GGCUAUAUAAGCGCUCUACGUCGCUGACAAAUCACAAACUUACAAAUUAACAUAGAUUGAGUGUUGAAGAAUAUUACAAAAUGCGUUUCUCACAUAUAACAUUAACUUUUGCCAUGAUCUUUGUUAUGGCGAUCAUGUAUACCGGAACAGAAGCAACAGCAGAACCAUUAGCCGACGCUUUGCCAGUGAGUGAUGCAAAUGCCGAAGCCUUCGAUAUUGCUGGUUUGAUUAAAACCCUAGCAGGAAAAGUAAAGGAUGCUUUGGGAAAGAAGUAGCUGCAUCUUUCGUGAAAUAAAAUACAAGUGAACAGCUGUUAAACCUGAAGAAAGAUUAUGAUAGAAAUGACGAAUUACAAGGGAUAUAUAUUAUAAAUAUCAUAUAUAUAUCAUUUUAAGCGAAAGUAUAAAUUAUAUUUAUAUGACUCUAUUGUACUUGCUUGUUUCAAAAUUAUGGAGAAAAAAUAAAUAAUAGGAUUGCAUCAUU